rnacentral:rRNA from 1 species
ACGGGUGAGUAAUACAUCGGAACGUGCCCGAUCGUGGGGGAUAACGCAGCGAAAGCUGUGCUAAUACCGCAUACGAUCUACGGAUGAAAGCGGGGGAUCGCAAGACCUCGCGCGGACGGAGCGGCCGAUGGCAGAUUAGGUAGUUGGUGAGGUAAAGGCUCACCAAGCCGUCGAUCUGUAGCUGGUCUGAGAGGACGACCAGCCACACUGGGACUGAGACACGGCCCAGACUCCUACGGGAGGCAGCAGUGGGGAAUUUUGGACAAUGGGCGCAAGCCUGAUCCAGCCAUGCCGCGUGCAGGAUGAAGGCCUUCGGGUUGUAAACUGCUUUUGUACGGAACGAAACGGUCUUUUCUAAUAAAGAAGGCUAAUGACGGUACCGUAGGAAUAAGCACCGGCUAACUACGUGCCAGCAGCCGCGGUAAUACGUAGGGUGCAAGCGUUAAUCGGAAUUACUGGGCGUAAAGCGUGCGCAGGCGGUGAUGUAAGACAGAUGUGAAAUCCCCGGGCUCAACCUGGGAACUGCAUUUGUGACUGCAUCGCUGGAGUGCGGCAGAGGGGGAUGGAAUUCCGCGUGUAGCAGUGAAAUG